GGGAAGGGUUGGAAUCCUUCAGUAAAGCUUGAGGGCCGACCUGAGGCUGGCCUGCCCGUCUCCCGAGGAGGAGGCAGUGGAACAAAGGCUUGAAGGUGGAAUGGUACAAGGGUUCCAGUCCAACUGACCUGCCUGGCCGGCUGCCUGUGAUCUGUGAGCACCCAUGAAGAUAAUGUACUGACCUAAACUUGCAGACCAACAUGUCCUUUGCCGAUUACUUGAUGGGAUGCUCCUCCAGACCACCCGCCUUGGGAAGGGCCUCUGAAGGGCUGAACCUUGGUUCUUACCUGAGGUCUCCUCUCUAUCCAGCAUCCUUACCUGUGGUCUUCAGGGACAGACGUUGGGGGUGCCAUCCCCCUUCUGUAUCCCCAGGGUGGGGGUAACACCUGUCUCUGACUUAA